UAAGAGGCUUUUAUAAAAGCCAUAUUUACAUACCUUGAAAUAUUAU
rfam:Physcomitrella patens subsp. patens PHYPAscaffold_285 genomic scaffold, whole genome shotgun sequence.